rnacentral:rRNA from 1 species
AAAUUGAAGAGUUUGAUCAUGGCUCAGAUUGAACGCUGGCGGCAGGCCUAACACAUGCAAGUCGAACGGUAACAGGAAGCAGCUUGCUGCUUCGCUGACGAGUGGCGGACGGGUGAGUAAUGUCUGGGAAACUGCCUGAUGGAGGGGGAUAACUACUGGAAACGGUGGCUAAUACCGCAUAACGUCGCAAGACCAAAGAGGGGGACCUUCGGGCCUCUUGCCAUCAGAUGUGCCCAGAUGGGAUUAGCUUGUUGGUGAGGUAACGGCUCACCAAGGCGACGAUCCCUAGCUGGUCUGAGAGGAUGACCAGCCACACUGGAACUGAGACACGGUCCAGACUCCUACGGGAGGCAGCAGUGGGGAAUAUUGCACAAUGGGCGCAAGCCUGAUGCAGCCAUGCCGCGUGUAUGAAGAAGGCCUUCGGGUUGUAAAGUACUUUCAGCGGGGAGGAAGGUGUUGUGGUUAAUAACCGCAGCAAUUGACGUUACCCGCAGAAGAAGCACCGGCUAACUCCGUGCCAGCAGCCGCGGUAAUACGGAGGGUGCAAGCGUUAAUCGGAAUUACUGGGCGUAAAG